rnacentral:rRNA from 1 species
AUUGAACGCUGGCGGCAUGCCUAACACAUGCAAGUCGAACGGCAGCGCGGGGUCAACCCUGGCGGCGAGUGGCGGACGGGUGAGGAAUGCAUAGGAAUCUGCCCGGUUGUGGGGGAUAACGUAGGGAAACUUACGCUAUCCCGCAUACGACCUUCGGGUGAAAGUGGGGGACGUUCGGGCCUCACGCGAUCGGAUGAGCCUAUGCCCGAUUAGCUAGGUGGCGGGGUACGAGCUCACCAAGGCGACGAGCGGUAGCUGGUCUGAGAGGAUGAUCAGCCACACUGGGAGUGGAACACGGCCCAGACUGCUACGGGAAGCAGCAGUGGGGAAUAUUGGACGAAGGGAGCAAGCAUGAUCCAGCAAUGCGGGGUGUGUGAAGAAGGCAUUCGGGCUGUAAAGCAGUUGUGUUCGGGAAGAAAUCCGUGUGGUUAAUACCCAGACGGGAUGACGGUACCGAAAGAAUAAGCACCGGCUAACUUCGUG